GUAAAUUGCAUCCUCAACCUUUCUGCUUCCUCAGUUCUCCUCAAUUAGGCUCCUACUCUCUUUGCCAACCAGAACCCAGCGAUUCCAUGGCAUACCCAGGCAUCGAUCCUUCCAAACAUGCAUGGGCCUCCGUUGCAAACAAAAAGGCAACUUCUGUACACAAAAUCGAUUUUGAGGCCAACACCUUUCCUUCACCAUUUCUAGCCACCAACCCUGAAGUCGAUCUGAGUUGAUUACAAUCAUACGCCGCAUCAAAAUUGAUCUUAACAACUUGGGUUUCUGGAGGCCUCCAUUUCGACAUUACCCAUUGUUUGAUCACCUAUAAGGCGCAAUAGAAUAAACGACACUGAGAAAUUGAGUUUCGUCAAAUAGCCAGGUGAGCCAUUCCCAAUUAUUUAAAUUUUCCAUAGAGACAACCCACAUAAGAUUUAAAGAAUUCCACGCUUCCAAUGACACAGGGCAAACUUGAAAUACAU